rnacentral:rRNA from 1 species
UGGGGAAUAUUGGACAAUGGGCGCAAGCCUGAUCCAGCCAUGCCGCGUGAGUGAUGAAGGCCCUAGGGUUGUAAAGCUCUUUCAACGGUGAAGAUAAUGACGGUAACCGUAGAAGAAGCCCCGGCUAACUUCGUGCCAGCAGCCGCGGUAAUACGAAGGGGGCUAGCGUUGUUCGGAUUUACUGGGCGUAAAGCGCACGUAGGCGGAUCGUUAAGUGAGGGGGUGAAAUCCCAGGGGCUCAACCCCUGGGAAACUGCCUUUCAUACUGUCAGUCUUGAGUCCCGGAAGAGGCGAGUGGAAUACCGAGUGUAGAGGUGAAAUUCGUAGAUAUUCGGUGGAACACCAGUGGCGAAGGCGACUCGCUGGUCCGGUACUGACGCUGAGGUGCGAAAGCGUGGGG